GGCUUCAACGGGUAACGGGGUAUCAGGGUCCGAUACCGGAGAGGGAGCCUGAGAAACGGCUACCACAUCCAAGGAAGGCAGCAGGCGCGCAAAUUACCCACUCCCAGCACGGGGAGGUAGUGACGAAAAAUAACGAUGCGAGGGCAUAUUGCUUCUCGUAAUCGGAAUGGGUACACUUUAAAUCCUUUAACGAGGAUCUAUUGGAGGGCAAGUCUGGUGCCAGCAGCCGCGGUAAUUCCAGCUCCAAUAGCGUAUAUUAAAGUUGCUGCGGUUAAAAAGCUCGUAGUUGGAUCUGGGCAGCUGGAUGUGCGGUGCGCUUUACAGCGUUACUGCUCGUUUGGCGCCACAAGCCGGCCAUGUCUUGCAUGCUCUUCACUGCGUGUGCUUGGCGACCGGAACGUUUACUUUGAAAAAAUUAGAGUGCUCAAAGCAGGCGUAUGGCCUUGCAUAAUGGUGCAUGGAAUAAUGGAAUAGGACCUCGGUUCUAUUUUGUUGGUUAUCGGAGCUCGAGGUAAUGAUUAAGAGGAAMAGACGGGGGCAUUCGUAUUGCGGCGUUAGAGGUGAAAUUCUUGGAUCGUCGCAAGACGAACUACUGCGAAAGCAUUUGCCAAGAAUGUUUUCAUUAAUCAAG
rnacentral:rRNA from 1 species